rnacentral:lncRNA from 1 species
AUGUAGCUUACUUGGGUCAUAUUUUAGCUAUUGGAACUUGUCUAUAUAGUCCAGAUAUGGUAGUUCAUCAUUUAGGUGCUAGUUGCUCUUUAAAGCAUAUUUUCAUUGAUUUUUAUGCAUGAAAUUGCACGACACACCUUGUAGACCUUAACUAUCUUAAGGAACAACUUUUAGAUGCUUCUUAUGGCUUUUCAUGGUCUUCUACAUGACUCAGGAGUUCAGUUACUGAACUUUAUCCAAAUACAUUUAGACACAGUUUUGGCUAUAACUCCCAAAACAGUCCACAAGUAGGAAAAAGAGAACUUUAGGCAUUCAAGCAAUCCUUAAAAUAUGCUUAUAACAUAGAAUCAUUUCUCUAUUUAUGUUUGCAAAAGUCAGCCAUCUUUUGAAUACAAAAACAGUCCAUAUAGGACACUUUAGGCAUGCUUAGAUGUUAAAUCCUCAUAACAGUCCCAAGCUCUUGAGCACAAGCAUUUUCAUUUAUCAACUAAAGAAUGCAUCGUGUCUCUUAAUUAGCUCACAACUUAACACAUCACGCUUAAAAGCAUUUGACUCAGCACUUAUGUAUAUAUCAUACAUACUUUAACCCAUAACUCUCAUACUUAAAACUUACUGCAUCAUAUUACAUAAUACAUAAUUCAUAAUUCAUAUACACAUUUUUUAUACCCUCCGUACUUAUAUAGAAAUAAUAACCCAAACUUCAUGGGUAAUUUAUCAAAUUACACCACAAAGCCAAGAAUAGGCCGCUAACGCUGCUAUUAUUGCUGCUCGCUGCCAACUGCUGCUGCCAAUGGGCAGCAGCCCCAACUUCUCAUCUUUUAUUUUGAUAGUACUUCGUUCCCCAUAAUUUUGAUCCGUUGAUGUUGAAAGUUUGAAUAUUGUAUAGGUGUUAUACCCACUUAUUUAAGAAAAUAUUAGCCAAAUAUCUUAGGUAAAUAACACAACAUUUGAGAGAGCAAGGGAGAUCCCACUGCUGCCCUCUAGCACGCUGCUACAACCCAUUGUUGCAGAAACGCAGCAACAAGCUUCCCCUUUUUGCCACUUUGAGAUAUCUUAAAGUUCUAGCUCCUAUUUUGGUUCACAUCCAUUGUUGAUUAUGAUAAACAUGCCAUAUCAAGC